GGGGAUAGCUCAGUGGUAGAGUGCCUGCCUAGCAUGCAGAAGCUCUUGGGUUCAAUCCCCAGUACUUCCA
rnacentral:tRNA from 1 species